UACGGGAGGCAGCAGUGGGGGAUAUUGCGCAAUGGGGGCAACCCUGACGCAGCAACGCCGCGUGAAGGAUGAAGGUUUUCGGAUUGUAAACUUCUUUUAUCAGGGACGAAACUUGACGGUACCUGAUGAAUAAGCUCCGGCUAACUACGUGCCAGCAGCCGCGGUAAU
rnacentral:rRNA from 1 species